CCUGGCGUUACGUCACGACGCCCGCGUCUUCCGCCUCGCCUCGUCGCAUCCCGGAGGCGUUUCGUCAUCGCUUCAGCGCAGAAGGAGCGAGUGCAGCCCGGCAAGGUUGUGACUCACUGGUCUUCUCCCCCUUCCCGUGGAGCUGAUACUAAGAGCUGAGAAUGCAUUAAAUUUGGAUCGGCAGGAAGACUCCUUAGAGUAUCUAGUCCAGCAUGAUGCCCGAUGUGGAUGUGUGCGAAAUACAGCCCUUGGCAGCUUAUGUGGAGCUAUUGAUCUGGCAAACUGUCCUGGAGUGCCUCCGGGUGCGCAGUGUAAGGCAGUAGACAACCCGACUGGGGAAGAGUGGAGGCCUAUAUGUUUUUCAAUUUUUAUUUUGCUUGAAAUCCUUUUGACAAUCAAGAAGAUUCAUAAAGAGAAAAGGCAGCUCCCGGGCAGAAGCUGAAGCUGUGCAUGACGGACAGGACCGGCCGUGCCACCGGGCUGCAUGUCACGGGGUCAUCAGUCUCACCUAGUGGGGCUCUGCUGCAGCAGCUGGGACCGGGCACCACGGCCGGAAGCCCCAACAGCAUUUCCUUUGAAGACUUCCCAAGAGCAGUAUUGCCGUGAAGGUCAGUGUUUCGCACAUGAAGAUCAUUGUGUUUGUCAAGUCUGGUGAGACAAAGACUUAAUUGAAAAAAAAGAAGAAAAAAGCUGACUGCAGAAGAGCAGUAGUAACUUAUAACUUGCCAACAGACUGAGAUACUCUCUUUUUACCUUCUUUCUGGUUGUCCCACCAUAGGUAUCUGCUGUGAAUUAUUCGAAAUAAGAGAAAAUAAUGACAGUGACUGUUACCAUUCUCAUCUGUUCAGUACUUUUUAUGUGCCAGGUAUUUUCUGUGUGCCUUGACAUGUGCUAGGUCAUCAAAUUCUCACAAUCCUGUGCAGCAGAUGCUCUGUUAUUACCCCCACUUCUAGGGUCUAAUGAGCUCUGCGUAUGCAUACAUACACACCACUGCCUCAGUUAACAGGCAUAAAACUCAGAAAUUUUAGGAGGUAUUAGACAUUGUUUGUUCUUCAAUUUUUCCCUUAUUUUAUUUUAUUGUUUUAAUUUUCCAGGCAUUCCCUUUGUGAAUGGGAGGUUUGUACAUCAACCCUUAGUCCCCAACAGCUAACACUGCCUCUCCAGGCAAGAUCCAACCCUAACUUACAAAGCAACUGGUGUGGUUGUUAUUGAUACUCAUUAACAAUUGCAGAAUAAUGUUCAGUUGCCUGAUUGAGCUAGGUUUAGCUAAAAAUAAUUUUCUCUGUAGAAAAUAAUAACUGAUAAGUAUGGAAUUUAAAAAUGUAACCUUGAUUUCUUUUGUGUGUGACACCAGUACUUCUUAAUGGCAACCCUGCAGGUGCAACUAGUAUAAAUGUAACUAGUACAGAGACAAAGAAAGUCAAAUGACACCAAUCCUUUUAAAGUUUAAAAAGAGAUAUAUUUACAAUCCUUUUUUUUCCUGCAAGUGGUACCAGAAAAUUUUAUUCAAUUCAUGUGAGGUCUAAUAACACUGAAAUCUAAAAAAUUUUAAAGCUAAAGAUUUAAGUUGUUCAAAAAUAUUGAUGGUACUCAUAAUUUUAAACCUUGAUGUUUGCAACUGGGCAGACUGAAAUGACACACAUUGUUUUGGAGUGACCAUGCCAGGAAUAUUAGGAAAAAUGUUUUUCAGGGUCAUUACCAUUCAAAAGUCAAAAGUAAACUAUUUGACUAGUUAUGUUUGUACCAUGAAAUGUUCUUACAUAACAUUUCAUUCCAUAUGAUAUAUUCUGCUUCCUGAACUAAAAGAAUUUUAAAUAUUUAUCUCUAACUUAACUAUAUUGAAAUCUUUAUAGUGUUUUUUUUUCUUUAAAAGUUUAAAAUGUCUUUUGCUGUAUGCCAAAGUAGGAAGGAUAAAGUACUUCUCAAUUUUUUGCUUUGUUUUCCAGCAAAUAUCCUCUGGAAUUCCUCAUAGAAUAUUUAUCAUAAAUUAAGCAUUUGUAACAUGAGAGAGAUUGUCAUUAUGUAUAAUUAUUCUUUUUUUCUAGAGAAAAUCUUGUUUAUGGAAUCAAAUAUAGAUCAAUCACAUUGUAAUAUAGUCAGUAAUCUUUUUCAGUACUCAGGAGACCAGAAAAUGAAGCAACUCCCUGCACUUUGGGCUUUAGGAUAUCAUUAAGGUGGAAAAGCAUGCCUCCUGUGUUUGGCUGGGAAGAAGUGAGACCCCAGGUACUGCCACUUCUCAUUCAUCCAAGUGACACCGUGCAGUUUCUCCAUCCUAAGUCCUGUUGGAUUGCUGGGGAGAGUCACAAGUUGAGGUGCAAGACAGGAAAAAGCACUCUGACUGCCGUCUGUAGUUGAAUCUGAGAGAGGGACUAAUGUGCUGCGCAUCGUAGAGAACAACUAUUUUGCUGAACGUCAGACUCUAGAUUCUAAGAUUUGGAAUAGAAGGAAUUGGUAUAGCAUGUGUCACACCAGUUAAUUGGAUUCUCUUCCUGGCUCUGCUACAAGCUACCUUUUACCCUUGUGCAUGUCGCUUGGUCUUUCUCUAUUUUCCCUUUCGUGAGACCUUAUUCUAAUGAACAGCAGUGAUGUGCUCAUGUCUGCCGUCAGACUGAACCCUAUUGGUGUGCAUCCUUCAGAGUCGGCUGCAGGACCUCUCAGUGCAGUGCGGGUCUACCGUCUCUGAACUGGACGUUAGUCUAUGUGCCACAGCAGCUGUGGGAACUUGGACUUUAAUUUUUCUAGGCCUUGAUUUUCUUCAUCAGUGAAAUGAAGUGACCGGGCUGGCUGGGAGCUAAGGUUCCUCUUCCGUUUGUAAAAUGCCUGCGCUAGUUUAUAUGAUCCUUCAAUCGAGGCACACAUAAUACUCGUUAGAAGUAUUGCAAGGUCUUUAAAUCUAUAUUUUUUUAAGAUGCCAGGAAACCAGACAUUUAUUUAUUUUGGGGGUAGAAGCAGGAUUGGAAUGUCCUAUUCUUAGCAUUUGAAAAUCAUACCUCUUACCCUUCACAGAGAGCAGGCAAAGCUCUCAUACCUUCGGUUAAGACAGGGCCUCUUGGGGGGCCCACAGGGGCCUUAGGGUGGAGGCUGGGGGCAGCGGGGUUCCUUUUCAGUGGGAGGGUAGAUCAGAUGGUUCUGAGAUGAUCUCCAUCCCCCUGUGAGUGGACUUCCUUCCCUUGGACCCUGGAGUGGGGCUGGAAUAUGGGCCGGAGGCCCUCAUGUAAUGGACGGGACGCAGCUUCCUCAGGCACAGCCCUGGAGGAGCCGUCCGCCGUUGCCAGGAGGCUCUGGGCCGCCAGGGAGGCCGUGCGGACUGUGCUUCAGCAGUUCUUUCGUCCUCGGCUCCUUGGAAAGCAGGCUCUUAGUCUGACCUUUGUGAAUUUAGAUAGUAUGAAAUAGAAGUCACGCUUUGAAAACACUGCUUCCAACAGCAGAGAGUGUAGCAUUUGCUAUUUUAAUUUCAUAAUUUCAAAUUCUAGUUUUAGAAUUAGAUACAUUAGAAUCUCUCAAAAAUCCCCAACCUUUCAGUCCCUCUUUAGGAAGCUGAUGAGCUCUUCUAACGCAGCCUUUCCUGUGGUUAUCUGAAUGCCUCCAAGGUGGGUGGGUGGCCCGGUGGGUUGCCCAGUCGGCAUGGACAUGGUACUGAUGAGGCCCAGGCGGUGGGCUUGGCUUCUCCCGCCUUUCAGGGAGAAGCGGCUGGUGAUUUUGUUCCAGGGCCACAGGCAGCAGACCCAGCUUAGCGCUUGUUUGGCUCACAAAGGAUUGAGGUGCAGAAAGGCAGAUUGAUUGUAGGACCCCGUCAUCCCUCCUGGGGAAGCAGUCAGAAUUCCUAGAAUGGGUCAAGACACGUGUAUGAACAACAGUGCGUCUGAAAUCCCAGACCUGGGGUUCCCUUAAGUUCACUGCAUUUAGAGUUUGCUGAUGGAGUCCAGAAUUUGAUAAAACAUUAAAAGCAUGUGGUUCAGAUAUAUGCUGUUGGUCUCUGGAGCUUCAAUGCCAUUUCCUUUGUUUUGCUUUUGAUAUCAAAUCUCUUAUAAUUUUGAACAAUAGGACAUCUCAUUUGUGCUUUAUAGUUUCAAUACUCAUUACUCACUUUUCUUGUAUGAAGCUUCCCCCAGAUUUAAAUAAACUCUUCUGCAUUGACUUUCUGUCAAGCACACCAUUAUAUUCAUUUGCGUAACAGCCCUACACAUGGUACAUGUAUAAACACCUAAAUACGUAAGACAGAAUGAUGUGUGUAUAUGCUGUGCCUUAACAACUUUCAGAUAACAGACCUUUGAGGGAAGGAACUGCGCUGAGAUGCUCUUGAUUCACCUGGAAUACUUGCAAUGGGUUCAGCACAAAGUGGUUGUCCGGGAAAUCCUAGCUGAAUUGAAUUUUCUGAAUACUUCUGUCGCAGAACUUAGCAGAACUUACUUUGGGGUAGUUUUCUCAACUUGUAAGUAUAAAUGACAGCAUAAAUGACUGUGGAAGAAAUUAUCUUAAGUUUAAAAGUUAAAUAAAACUCAAUAACUUGUUCUAAUUUUGUUGAACAGUUCUUAGGUUUUUAAGUAAAACACAGACUUACCCGUCCUCAACUGCUUAGUUGUCAUGCAAAUAUAUUUGAAUAAAAGAAAGAGGUUUGUAGUAUGUACUAUAUACUGUAUAUUUUGAAUGAAAUCCAGUUACUUGAGUUUUGAAAAUGGCUUAAGUGGUCUAGAUAGAUACAACAUGGUGACCUACUGCACUUUUUUAGCAAUUAUAUUUAGUGCAUGACUGGUUAUAAAAAUAUGCCAUGUGAAAGUAUCAAUCUGCCACAUCAUUGCCUGAGAGAAUUUAUGCAAUAUUUUUCAUUUCUAAAGCUAUUACCUGAAACUAAAAGCCUGAGAUUGACAGCUGUCAACUCAAUCAUUUGGUCAUCUCAUACCUCAGCCUAAUAGUUCACUGAAAAGUACUACCAAGAAUACUUAAUCAUCUCCUAGGAGUGAUAUUAUUUAUACUUAACUUAGCAAGCUGAUUUACCGAUGUUCGGUGUGAACAUUUCAUCGUUCACCUUUAUUUUCAGUUUGUAAAAAAGACUACAGUUUUAUAUGUGAAAAAAAAUCACUUGGAGUCUAUAGAGCCUUAGGUUAUAGGAUAUAAUUCGGCUUACGUAACAGUAUUUCUUGGUACUAAGUUCUUCUGAUUAAAAUUAAACCCAUAUGAGAUAAAAUGUGCUGAAAUCAAAAUAAAUUCCUUUGAGUUUUCCUGUUUGGUUUCCAACUUAAGCACGUGGUAAUCCUUCUGCCGAAUGU